AGAAAAGAAAAGAAGAAUGAAGGAAAUUAAAAUGAAGAGGAUGUAAGUGUGCUGGAAGGAGUCGAAGGAAAGAAGGAGAAACCGAGAGCGAGAGAGAGAGAGAGAGAGAGAGAGAGAGAAGAGUUCAAGUCAGCACAUUGCUGGAAAUGAAGAAGAGCUCAAGGCAAAAGCUAUGGAUUAAAGAAAGAAAUGAAGAAAAGAAAAGAGAAGCAGAGGAAAAUCAACCAAAAAUGUUGAAAUUAAGUAUAAGGUGAGCAAAUUGAGCAACAAGGAUAGAGAAAGUUUCAGAGUCUACCCGUGUCAGCCUUUUGAAGAGCUUUCAGAAUGGAGCAAGUUAGGCUCGAGUAGAGCCAUGAAAAUCAGCCCUUAGCUUUGCCAAAGCUUUGUAUUUUGUUGAGUCUUCAAUGUAUAUGUGUAUGAGAUAUAUAAGAUUUGUAUAUGUAUAUAAAUUAUUAUUGUGUUUUAAUUUUUUAAUUAUUUUAGUUAUCAUGUA